GACGAACGCUGGCGGCGUGCCUAAUACAUGCAAGUCGAACGAGUGGCGGACGGGUGAGUAAUGUCCGGGAAACUGCCCGAUGGAGGGGGAUAACUACUGGAAACGGUAGCUAAUACCGCAUACCAUCGGAUGUGCCCAGAUGGGAUUAGCUAGUAGGUGGGGUAACGGCUCACCUAGGCGACGAUCCCUAGCGGGUCUGAGAGGAUGACCAGCAACACGGGAACUGAGACACGGUCCAGACUCCUACGGGGGGCAGCAGGGGGGAAUAUUGCACAGUGGGCGAAAGCCGGAUGCAGCCAGGCCGCGGGUAGGAAAAGGGCCUUCGGGUUGUAAAGUACUUUCAGCGAGGAGGCGUUACUCGCAGAAGAAGCACCGGCUAACUCCGUGCCAGCAGCCGCGGUAAUUC
rnacentral:rRNA from 1 species